UACGGAGGAGGCAAGCGUUAUCCGGAAUUAUUGGGCGUAAAGCGUCCGUAGGUGGUUUAGAAAGUCUGCUGUCAAAGGCUGGGGCUUAACUCCAGACAGGCAGUGGAAACUACUAGACUAGAGUGCGGUAGGGGCAGAGGGAAUUCCCAGUGUAGCGGUGAAAUGCGUAGAUAUUGGGAAGAACACCGGUGGCGAAAGCGCUCUGCUGGACCUGUACUGACACUGAGGGACGAAAGCUAGGGGAGCGAAA
rnacentral:rRNA from 1 species